CCUUGCACAGGUCCGCGGCGAUGGCCUCCAGGAUGUCCUUCUCGCACUCCUGCACCAUCCUCCGCAGGGCCUCGAGCUGCUGCAGCCGGAACCGCAGGGGUCGCGACCGGCCGGACCGGAAAGCCUGUCGAAGCUGCUGGACUUGGCUCUCCAUGGUCUGGUCCUGAAGAAAAAAGGCAAGCUCCCGGGGCGCUGGGGCGUGGCGAACCGGAUGGAGGCUGGGGCUAGCGGGCACUGUUCCUCCUCUCAGGCGUUCUCCGGGUUAGACCCCCACCGCUGACCCCAGGCCGCCCCUUACCUGUCCCACUAAGUGCUAGAUCCCCCGCGGCCUCACCGCCGGCCAAGUCCAACUGCCCCACAGAAGCUCAGCAAGGCUAAGCUCAACCCCGAGCCCCGUGCCUAUUGGUCUUGGCGGCCCACGUGACCGCGCGGCCCCCGCCCGCUCCCUGGCUCUGACCACAAGCCCGGCAGGGGGGCCUUCGGGUGCAGAGGUGAGUAAAGAGGAUGGCCUGGCGGGGAAAGGAACCCAUGGGUGGUUCCAGAAAAAGGGAAGAGUACUCUUCGAGAAUGAGCUGAGUUUCAGAGGACGAGCAGCUGAGGAGAGCCGGACAUCGGGCAGGAAGUACCCAGACGCCCAGAGAAUGCGGCCCACACACCGAGACGCCCUGGAAAGCGGGUUUCCUUCCUCCUGCAUUAUGUGGCUCUUCAGAUGUGGCUGAAUUAACAGAAUCAGGAGGCCUGGGGCUGCCAGACGCGCUGGGAUUAGUUGCCCCCAGCUCUAGCCUGCCCUUCACGAAUUAGCUGCCACGACUUGACAGCGUCGCAGAUGGAGCUCAGAAAUUCCUUCGAGGGCAGGAAGUCAGGUCUUCAUCUCCUGUAUUGCUAGCACAGGGAUCAUUUCCAGAAAUAUACUUAAUGAACAUUAUUGUCUCCCAGGCUUUUUUGUUUUGUUUUGCUGGGGGACGGCCGUGGGGAUGGAACCCAGGGCCAGCACUUGACCACUGAACCGCAUCCCUAACUUCCCUCCCUUUCUUGGCUGCAUAUCAUCCCGGUUUGCUGCUCACCUUUAGAGCACAACUCCGCCGAAUGGGGAACCCACGCUAUUCAGGUUUUCCUUCCCAGUUAGUUUUUGCAGAUCCAAAAGGAGAGCUUAGUUCUCAUUCUUGUCCUACUCAGCAACAUUUGGCACAGUUGGUCAUUCUCAUUUCUAGAAAAAGUUGGUUUGGUUUUUGUUUUGUUUUUUGUUUUUGUUUUCAUCCCCCACCCCCACCCCCCACACUCUUCUGGUUUUUGUUUAGACCACUGGAGUCCUCUAGGUUUUUCUUUGCUGGAUCUUUCUCCCCUUUCUGUUCUCUUUAAAUGUUCAAGUGCCGUUGGGACUCGGUCCUUGGUCCUCUUUUCCCAGUCACUAUGAAUAUCGGUCAGAGAAGGCUCUAAUCCCAACCUUUCCUCUGAAUUCCAAAGGGUAUAUUCAACCACAUUCUAUUCAUCUCCAUUUGAAUUUGUAAUAGGAGUCUUAACUUUAAAUCAAACUCUUUAUUCUUCUCCACCAAAUAUAAUGUAUGCAUCUGCCAGUGUUCCCUGUCUCAAUAAAUGAUACUGUCCUUUGUCCGGUU